rnacentral:rRNA from 1 species
UUGAACGCUGGCGGCAUGCUUUACACAUGCAAGUCGAACGGCAGCGGGGGCUUCGGCCUGCCGGCGAGUGGCGAACGGGUGAGUAAUGCAUCGGAACGUACCCUGUCGUGGGGGAUAACACAUCGAAAGAUGUGCUAAUACCGCAUACGACCUGAGGGUGAAAGCGGGGGAUCGCAAGACCUCGCGCGAUAGGAGCGGCCGAUAUCGGAUUAGCUAGUUGGUGAGGUAAAGGCUCACCAAGGCGACGAUCCGUAGCGGGUCUGAGAGGAUGAUCCGCCACACUGGGACUGAGACACGGCCCAGACUCCUACGGGAGGCAGCAGUGGGGAAUUUUGGACAAUGGGCGAAAGCCUGAUCCAGCCAUGCCGCGUGAGUGAAGAAGGCCUUCGGGUUGUAAAGCUCUUUCAGCCGGAAAGAAAUCGCGCAGGCUAAUACUCUGCGUGGAUGACGGUACCGGAAGAAGAAGCACCGGCUAACUACGU